rnacentral:rRNA from 1 species
UACGGGGGGGGGCAAGCGUUGUUCGGAAUUACUGGGCGUAAAGGGCUCGUAGGCGGCCAACUAAGUCAGAUGUGAAAUCCCCAGGCUUAACCUGGGAACUGCAUCUGAUACUGGAUGGCUUGAAUCCGGGAGAGGGAUGCAGAAUUCCAGGUGUAGCGGUGAAAUGCGUAGAUAUCUGGAGGAAUACCGGUGGCGAAGGCGGCAUCCUGGACCGGCAUUGACGCUGAGGUGCGAAAAGCGUGGGGGAGCAAACAGG